rnacentral:rRNA from 1 species
GCUUAACACAUGCAAGUCGAGGGGCAGCAUGGUCUUAGCUUGCUAAGGCCGAUGGCGACCGGCGCACGGGUGAGUAACACGUAUCCAACCUGCCGUCUACUCUUGGACAGCCUUCUGAAAGGAAGAUUAAUACAAGAUGGCAUCAUGAGUCCGCAUGUUCACAUGAUUAAAGGUAUUCCGGUAGACGAUGGGGAUGCGUUCCAUUAGAUAGUAGGCGGGGUAACGGCCCACCUAGUCUUCGAUGGAUAGGGGUUCUGAGAGGAAGGUCCCCCACAUUGGAACUGAGACACGGUCCAAACUCCUACGGGAGGCAGCAGUGAGGAAUAUUGGUCAAUGGGCGCAGGCCUGAACCAGCCAAGUAGCGUGAAGGAUGACUGCCCUAUGGGUUGUAAACUUCUUUUAUAAAGGAAUAAAGUCGGGUAUGUAUACCCGUUUGCAUGUACUUUAUGAAUAAGGAUCGGCUAACUCCGUGCCAGCAGCCGCGGUAAUACGGAGGAUCCGAGCGUUAUCCGGAUUUAUUGGGUUUAAAGGGAGCGUAGAUGGAUGUUUAAGUCAGUUGUGAAAGUUUGCGGCUCAACCGUAAAAUUGCAGUUGAUACUGGAUAUCUUGAGUGCAGUUGAGGCAGGCGGAAUUCGUGGUGUAGCGGUGAAAUGCUUAGAUAUCACGAAGAACUCCGAUUGCGAAGGCAGCCUGCUAAG